ensembl:lncRNA
CAGGGCCAUAAAAACACACCUUCACAACAUGAUGAUUAAAACAGGCAAUUAUGGUCUCCUUAAGAAACCAGCACAGAAAAACCCAUCAGCGAUACUUUGACCUUUAUUAUAGCGAAAGAUGAUGACAUGAGACAUUACAAUAACCCAUCACCGAACAGUCAUUCAGGUAGGUAAACAGUCAUUCAGGUACGUAAACAGUCAUUCAGGUAUGUAAGAUGGACUAUAGCCUUCUAAACUUUAGCUACAGUAUUGUGUCCAAUAAUAAACAAACAAGAUUCAAUGACUUCUCAAGCCGUGAUGCAGUAUAAUUGUAGUACAGAUAUCUGAUCUUAUUUUAAUGUUUCUCUUGCGAAACAACAAUAUAAAGCACUAAGUCAGUUUUAAUGUCGUUGUGAAACCCUGCCCGGUGAAAUACGUCUGGAGGGCUCUAACUAACUACAGUGCUUUAUGUGCUCGGCUCUCAGCCAAGUUAUUUAAUAACCUUUUUCUUGUGGAGACCGGCGAUAUGUCCCCACUUGUCCAAACGUUCCUUGUUUUUACUGCCCUUGUGGAUCAACUGAAGGGCUAGGUUAGGGUUAAGGUUAGGGUUAGGGGUUAAGGGUUAAGGUUAGGGUUAAGGGUUAAGGUUAGGGUUAGGUUUAGGGGAUAAGGUUAGGGGUUAAGGUUAGGGGUUAAGUUUAGGGUUAGGGGUUAAGGUUAAGUUUAGGGGUUAAGUUUAGGGUUAGGUUUAGGGUUAGGGGUUAAGGUUAGGGUUAGGGGUUAGGUUAAGGGUUAGGUUAAGGGUUUAAGGUUAGGGUUAGGGGUUAAGGUUAGGUUAAGGAUUAGGGGUUAAGGUUAGGGUUAAGGUUAGGAGUUAAGGUUAGGGUUAGGUUUAGGGUUAGGGGUUAGGGUUAGGUGUUAAGGUUAGGUUUAGGAUUAGGGGUUCAGGUUAGGUUAGGUUUAGGGUUAGGGUUUAAGGUAACGGGUUAAGGUUAGGGUUAGGGGUUAAGGGAUAGGUUAAAGAGCUAUGGAAAAUAAGGAUUUUGAAUGGUAAUUGUUAAGGAUAGUAUGUGUCCUUGUGGGCAUCAAAAAAGUAUUCAGACCCCUUGACUUCUUCUACAUUUUGUUACGUUACGGUCUUAUUCUAAAAUGGAUUCAAUUGUUUGUUUUCCC